CUUAGUACAUAUUAAGUUCAAUAUGUAGAUCAAUUUGUUUCACCCUUUUGUACUUUUUCACGUAGCAUCAAUAAAUUGUCCUAGACUAGACAAGUGACGUCGUGCGAAUUCAUUUCUGAAGAUAUAAAUCAUAAAUUAGAAAGCUUUUUUUCAAUCCAUCAAAUUUUAAAUUUUAUUCACAGAGGAUAUUUUUAUCGAAGUGACAAUGGAUAUCAAUGAAAUUGUAUUUGUAACCUCUGCACUUCAUUGUAAUCGUCGUAUUCGUGGAAGUAACAGUCUAAUGUAUGUGCUGUCGUAGUUCGGUUUUAUGCUAUCUCUGUUCAGGAACCUUUGAAAAUUUAUAGGUAAAAUUUGUUUAUUCAGGUUUCUAUAUGUCUUUGGUAAUUUGUUAAUGGUUGAAAAAAAAGUUUAUCUUAAGAGAUUUGAUACAUUGCUUCUAUUAUGAAUCGAUAAAAGUAUAACUUAUCGCGGUGUACUUAAGCGUGUUAUUUAAGGUAAAGGGAAGGCUUAAAAACAAUAACGACGAUGGUACAAUCGAAAAUAAAGACCAUCUUUCACAUUGGAAUAAGCACUCGUUAAAUACUCAUGUGUUAAUCACAAAUUGGAAUGUGUAGAGAUAGAUAGUAGAGAUAAAUAAAGUGGAGUCCUUAAUAACCUCACGCAGACAUGAUACGACGAAAAGCACCACGUACGUUAAAUCAACUCUUCAAGGUGAUUUUAUUGACAUGCAUGUUGCUCCUGGUGUUCGUCCGGACUGAAAACACACAGCACGAGAGUAUAGUUUUCAGAUAUAUUCCUUCCGCAAAUCAUUUAUUCGUCGUUAGAAAGGAACGGCAGGGAUGUUUCGUUUACAACACCACUGAACAAGAGAGGAAACAAAUACAUGAUCCGAUUAACGUUUAUGCAUUUGAGGUUAAAGUUAUGACAAUGGUACAGAACUACACUUCAUACUUCCGACAGGCUUCUAAGACUCUAUAUCAUACUGACCCGGCUAUCAAAAUAUUCAUAAACUUGUGUAACAAAGGAACUUAUGAUUUAUGGCUAUUUAAAGGUCAUACAUAGCAACACCAUUUUCUACAGAGUCAUUUUUGACAUAAACUUCCGAAAUCCGUGUAUAAGGUUUAUGAAAUAAAGACCAUAUAUGAUUGCAUUGUAUUUACUGUGCCUCGGCUUCUGAUAGCUAGAACGUCAAGUUAGACAACACCAAUGAAUGCCAGAAUGUAAAUUCAAAUACUAUAAGUAUUCUGAGUGUAUUAAACGUGAAAAAUAAAAAUG